GAUGAACGCUGGCGGCGUGCCUAAUACAUGCAAGUCGAGCGAACAGAUGAGGAGCUUGCUCCUCUGACGUUAGCGGCGGACGGGUGAGUAACACGUGGAUAACCUACCUAUAAGACUGGGAUAACUUCGGGAAACCGGAGCUAAUACCGGAUAAUAUAUUGAACCGCAUGGUUCAAUAGUGAAAGACGGUUUUGCUGUCACUUAUAGAUGGAUCCGCGCCGCAUUAGCUAGUUGGUAAGGUAACGGCUUACCAAGGCAACGAUGCGUAGCCGACCUGAGAGGGUGAUCGGCCACACUGGAACGUAGACACGGUCCAGACUCCUACGGGAGGCAGCAGUAGGGAAUCUUCCGCAAUGGGCGAAAGCCUGACGGAGCAACGCCGCGUGAGUGAUGAAGGUCUUCGGAUCGUAAAACUCUGUUAUUAGGGAAGAACAAAUGUGUAAGUAACUAUGCACGUCUUGACGGUACCUAAUCAGAAAGCCACGGCUAACUACGUG
rnacentral:rRNA from 1 species